UCACAGGCUUUUGGGCAUUCCUUAGGCAGGGUUCUUGAAAUAUAGAGAAGAUUUGCUACUACCUUUGUCAACGUUUGCUCUUGUUCAGUUUGUAUGUUUUUGGGCAUGUCCCAAAAGGUACACUUGAGGGCAUUUUUGUAGACCUCUAGCCACACAGUCUAAGUAGGUUGUUCUAGAAGGUCAAUAUCAUACUCAACAAAAUUGUGAACUUUGUUAGAUUACAAAGAAGAAACAUAUCCAGCCAUAGGACCAGGUGUAGUAGUUGGAUGUGGCACAUACAAUUGGCAUGUUUUCCAAAUAGUAACACAUGGUGUCAUAUGGCAUUGUUUUUGUCAGCUGCCUGUGAGAGAUGGUUGUGGUAAUAGAGAUUGUUUAGCUGGUAUCCGUACAGUUUGUUUAGCUGGUAUCCUCAGUUGCCCUUACCAUACCUAAAGUGCUUCCUGGCAGUGAUAACAGGUGUUUUGAAUAGUUUCCUGAGAAACUAAACUGUUAGUUUGGUUGAUAGGUUUGUGGCUAGACAUUAUGUACCUAGUAUCCUUCAACUAAUUGUGGGAAAAACUCUUGGCAUGGUAAUGUUGGCAACAACAAUGUGUCUUAUGUUUUGAGAACAGGUAGUUUUGGUUGAAGAUCUAAUAGUAUGCUAGCAGGCGGUAUCUUUGUCUGGGAUUGUGCAAUGCUAGAUAGCCUGUCACCUAUAGUAUUCAUGACUUGUGUGUUUUUAGACUUUUUGUUGCAUAAAGUAUUAAGAACAUUCCUAUCAAGUCUAGGUGAGAUCAUUGAUUCAAGGAAACAGUAUUUUCAAUCCAAGAGAAAAGACAGGAUUGGAUUUAAGUAGUCAGUACUUGGAUCUUUGUUUUGCUCUGACGAGAGGAAUUGUUAUGUUUGCUGAUAGAACAGCUUGCUGUGGUUGUGCAUGGGUGUGCAUAGUAACAGAGUAGGGAGACUGAAGAUGGUGAAAUGCUGUCUCAGCACUGCUACUAAUGACUUUCUAAUUGUAGUGGAGUUCCUUGGUCUGAUGUUGUAGAGGUGGAUCCAGCACUUGAGUUAAAGAAACAUUUCAUCGAGAUUAGAGAACUGCCCUGGAGGAUUAAUGUUUAUAUUCAAGUCUUUCAAAGGCACAAGGAGGAGGAAGCCAAAGUGAGUAAUACUGUGGCAGAGUCAAUGCUUUGGUAUAGAGAUAUGCUGGAUUGUGGUUGACGUACUAGACAGCUCUCAUUUGCUGUUCAUACAUUGUAAUUGGUCACUGGUUUUGUUGUGAUAAUUAAUGAUUGUCAUGUUUUGUAUGAACCUGUACAGCUUUCGUUACUGUACUGUUUUUACCUUGGCAAUGAGUGGAUACUGUUUUAAGCUUUGGCUGUUGUCUGCGAAUGUGAUAUCAUACACCAUAUACU